AACGCUAGCUACAGGCUUAACACAUGCAAGUCGAGGGGAAACGACGUUGAGGGCUUGCCCUCAUCGGGCGUCGACCGGCGCACGGGUGAGUAACGCGUAUCCAACCUGCCCCCUACAGGGGAAUAAUCCGUCGAAAGGCGGUCUAAUGCCCCAUACGUUCCGAGGCGGACAUCCAAAUUGGAAGAAAGUGGCGACACGGUAGGGGAUGGGGGUGCGUCCGAUUAGGUUGUUGGCGGGGCAACGGCCCACCAAGCCGUCGAUCGGUAGGGGUUCUGAGAGGAAGGUCCCCCACAUUGGAACUGAGACACGGUCCAAACUCCUACGGGAGGCAGCAGUGAGGAAUAUUGGUCAAUGGACGAGAGUCUGAACCAGCCAAGUAGCGUGCAGGAUGACGGCCCUAUGGGUUGUAAACUGCUUUUGUACGGGGAUAAAGUGAGCCACGUGUGGUUUAUUGCAGGUACCGUACGAAUAAGGACCGGCUAAUUCCGUGCCAGCAGCCGCGGUAAUACGGAAGGUCCGGGCGCUAUCCGGAUUUAUUGGGUUUAAAGGGAGCGCAGGCCGCCUUUUAAGCGUGCCGUGAAAUGCCGUGGCUCAACCAUGGCACUGCGGCGCGAACUGGAGGGCUUGAGUGCGCGGAAGGCAGGCGGAACUCGUGGUGUAGCGGUGAAAUGCUUAGAUAUCACGAAGAACUCCGAUUG
rnacentral:rRNA from 1 species